UAUAUUUAGGUGUAUGAUGCAUAAAAAUUUUUGAUAUUUUAGGUAAUAGUUUAAUUCUAUUAAGUAUAA
rnacentral:tRNA from 1 species